rnacentral:rRNA from 1 species
UACGUAGGGACCAAGCGUUGUUCGGAUUUACUGGGCGUAAAGAGCUCGUAGGCGGUGUGUCACGUCGUUCGUGAAAACCUGCAGCUUAACUGUGGGCGUGCGGUCGAUACGGGCAUCACUGGAGUUCGGCAGGGGAGACUGGAAUUCCUGGUGUAGCGGUGAAAUGCGCAGAUAUCAGGAGGAACACCGGUGGCGAAGGCGGGUCUCUGGGCCGAUACUGACGCUGAGGAGCGAAAGCGUGGGGAGCGAACAGG